UAGGGAAUCUUCGGCAAUGGGGGGAACCCUGACCGAGCAACGCCGCGUGAGUGAAGAAGGUUUUCGGAUCGUAAAGCUCUGUUGUUAAGGAAGAACGAGUGUGAGAAUGGAAAGUUCAUGCUGUGACGGUACUUAACCAGAAAGGGACGGCUAACUACGUGCCAGCAGCCGCGGUAAUACGUAGGUGGCAAGCGUUGUCCGGAAUUAUUGGGCGUAAAGCGCGCGCAGGUGGUUUAGAAAGUCUGAUGUGAAAGCCCACGGCUCAACCGUGGGGGGUCAUUGGAAACUAAUGACCUUGAGUGCAGGAAAGAAAGGUGGGAUUCCUAGUGUAGCGGUGAAAUGCGUAGAGAUUAGGAGGAACACCGGUGGCGAAAGCGGCUUUUUGGCCUGCAACUGACACUGAGGCGCGAAAGCGUGGGGAGCAAACAGG
rnacentral:rRNA from 1 species